CAAGUACUGGCACAAGCAGGAGGCCUGAGAGCACUGGAGGAGGGGGAUGCUGCAGAGGCGCCCACAUGGCUAGGUAUUCCUCAUUGGUCUGCUCAACAUUGACUUCUUAAAUUGGGUUUCCAAGGCCUUCCUCUUGACCUAUACAGAAAGAAGACAAAAACCCAUUGAAAGAGCCACUGGAAGGAGAAAUCACAAAUUGAAGGAAAACCAGAAUUCAAAAUUGUAAGUUCAUGUUGGGAAAGGGAAACACCAUAGCUUACAUCCAAGAGAAG
rnacentral:lncRNA from 1 species